rnacentral:hammerhead_ribozyme from 1 species
GUGCUGAUGAAGAGUCCCAAACUGGGACGAAGCAGCUGUCCAGUAC